UACGAAGGUGGCAAGCGUUACUCGGAAUUACUAGGCGUAAAGGGCAGGUAGGUGGUUUGGUUAGUCUGUUGUGAAAGCUCCCGGCUUAACUGGGAGAGGUCAACGGAUACUGCCAAACUUGAGUAUAGGAGAGGUUACUGGAAUUCCCGGUGUAGCGGUGAAAUGCGCAGAGAUCGGGAGGAACACCAAUGGCGAAGGCAGCUCGCUGGGACGGUACUGACGCUGAGACGCGAAAGCGUGGGGAGCAAACAGG
rnacentral:rRNA from 1 species